rnacentral:rRNA from 1 species
CAGCAGCCGCGGUAAAACGUAGGUGGCAAGCGUUGUCCGGAAUUAUUGGGCGUAAAGGGAGCGUAGACGGUUAAACAAGUCUGAAGUGAAAUGCCGGGGCUCAACCCCGGAGCUGCUUUGGGAACUGUAGAACUGGAGUGUCGGAGGGGUAAGCGGAAUUCCCAGUGUAGCGGUGAAAUGCGUAGAUAUUGGGAGGAACACCGGCGGCGAAGGCGGCUUACUGGACGACAACUGACGUUGAGGCUCGAAGGCGUGGGUAGCAAACAGGAUUAGAUACCCUGUAGUCCCUGUCUCUUAUACA